UAAUACGUAGGGGCCGAGCGUUGUCCGGAAUUACUGGGCGUAAAGCGCGCGCAGGCGGCUGAUCAAGCCUGACGUGAAAGCCCCCGGCUCAACCGGGGAGGGUCGUCGGGGACUGGUUGGCUUGAGGGCGGUAGGGGCCGGUGGAAUUCCCGGUGUAGUGGUGAAAUGCGUAGAGAUCGGGAGGAACACCAGUGGCGAAGGCGGCCGGCUGGGCCGACCCUGACGCUGAGGCGCGAAGGCGUGGGGAGCGAACGGGAUUAGAUACCCCGGUAGUCCACGCAGUAAACGAUGCAGACUAGGCGUGGGGGGACUUGACCCCCUCCGUGCCGCAGCCAACGCGAGAAGUCUGCCGCCUGGGGAGUACGGCCGCAAGGCUAAAACUUAAAUGAAUUGACGG
rnacentral:rRNA from 1 species